rnacentral:lncRNA from 1 species
GUGAUGUUUUGAGUCUUCCUCAAGUAUGAUUUUAUGGGACUUUUUUCUGUUUAUAUUUGGGGUAUAAUGCUAAAAAUUAAAAAUCUUCUGUUGCAAUUACUUUAAGAUUAGGGUCAAAUUAUAUGCUAGAUUGACUGGACUACCCCUUCUUUUUUGCUUUUGAGCAAUACACUAUGCUGUUGCAAAUUGACACCCCAGACUGUCCUCCCCCCAUUUUUUGGGGCAAAAUUGUCCCCCUCUCACAAUUUCUUCUUU